UACGUAGGGGGCUAGCGUUGUCCGGAAUCAUUGGGCGUAAAGCGCGCGUAGGCGGCCCGGUAAGUCCGCUGUGAAAGUCAAAGGCUCAACCUUUGAAUGUCAGCGGAUACUGCCGGGCUAGAGUCCGGAAGAGGCGAGUGGAAUUCCUGGCGUAGCGGUGAAAUGCGCAGAUAUCAGGAGGAACACCCGUGGCGAAAGCGGCUCUCUGGGACGGUACUGACGCUGAGACGCGAAAGCGUGGGGAGCAAACAGG
rnacentral:rRNA from 1 species